rnacentral:rRNA from 1 species
AGUGAACGCUGGCGGUAGGCCUAACACAUGCAAGUCGAACGGCAGCACAGUAAGAGCUUGCUCUUACGGGUGGCGAGUGGCGGAUGGGUGAGGAAUACAUCGGAAUCUACUUUUUCGUGGGGGAGAACGUAGGGAAACUUACGCUAAUACCGCAUACGACCUACGGGUGAAAGCAGGGGAUCUUCGUACCUUUCGCGUUUGAACGAGCCGAUGUCGGAUUAGCUAGUUGGCGGGGUAAAGGCCCACCAAGGCGACUAUCCGUAGCUGGUCUGAGAGGAUGAUAAGCCACACUGGAACUGAGACACGGUCCAGACUCCUACGGGAGGCAGCAGUGGGGAAUAUGGGACAAUGGGCGCAAGCCUGAUCCAGCCAUAGCGAGUGGGUGAAGAAGGCCUUCGGGUUGUAAAGCCCUUUUGUUGGUAAAGAAAAGCAGCAGGUUAAUACCCCGCUGUUCUGACGGUACCCAAAGAAUAAGCACCGGCUAACUACGUG